AACGAACGCUGGCGGCAGGCCUAACACAUGCAAGUCGAGCGCCCCGCAAGGGGAGCGGCGGACGGGUGAGUAACACGUGGGAAUUUUCCUCAAGGUACGGAACAACUCAGGGAAACUUGGGCUAAUACCGUAUGAUGCAGAGAUGCCAAAGAUUUAUCGCCUUGGGAUAAGCCCGCGUCAGAUUAGGUAGUUGGUGAGGUAACGGCUCGCCAAGCCUGUGAUCUGUAGCUGGUCUGAGAGGACGAUCAGCCACAUUGGGACUGAGACACGGCCCAAACUCCUACGGGAGGCAGCAGUGGGGAAUCUUGCGCAAUGGGCGAAAGCCUGACGCAGCCAUGCCGCGUGAAUGAUGAAGGUCUUAGGAUUGUAAAGUUCUUUCGCCCGUGACGAUGAUGACGGUAACGGGAGAAGAAGCCCCGGCUAACUUCGUGCCAGCCGCCGCAGUAAGAC
rnacentral:rRNA from 1 species